rnacentral:rRNA from 1 species
CAGCAGUGGGGAAUAUUGCACAAUGGAGGAAACUCUGAUGCAGCAACGCCGCGUGGAGGAUGACACAUUUCGGUGCGUAAACUCCUUUUAUAUGAGAAGAUAAUGACGGUAUCAUAUGAAUAAGCACCGGCUAACUCCGUGCCAGCAGCCGCGGUAAUACGGGGGGUGCAAGCGUUACUCGGAAUCACUGGGCGUAAAGAGCAUGUAGGCUGAUAGAUAAGUUGGAAGUGAAAUCCUAUGGCUUAACCAUAGAACUGCUUCCAAAACUGUCUAUCUAGAAUAUGGGAGAGGUAGAUGGAAUUUCUGGUGUAGGGGUAAAAUCCGUAGAGAUCAGAAGGAAUACCGAUUGCGAAGGCGAUCUACUGGAACAUUAUUGACGCUGAGAUGCGAAAGCGUGGGGAGCAAACAGGAUUAGAUACCCUGGUAGUCCACGCCCUAAACGAUGCACACUAGUUGUUGCCUUGCUAGACAAGGCAGUAAUGCAGUUAAC